CCUUCAGCACAUCUUCAAAACCAGUCUUUUCCGGAGGGGCGCAGGCCGAGGGAGCUGGGCCCGGGCUGCACGGCCGCAGGGCCCGGUCCGGGCAGGCGAGCAGAAGGCAGGCGGAGGUGCCAGGGCAGGUCCCCUUUCGUCGCAAAGAACAACAGCAACUUGAAAACUCACACAAAGAACACAGCAGGUUGAAGAAAGCCACCUCCCCCGACCGCUUCCCGCCUCCCCCGCGAGCACAAUAACUAAGGUCCAGUGGGAAAUUGAAGCCAUGGCGAAGGGGGAGAGACGGGGGCACAUUCCGCUCCCAGAACCGCCCGCGACUUCCUGCGCCUGGGCCGGAGCGAGGGCGGGCGGAUCGAGGCUCAUCGGGGGUCGCGCGGUGCCCACGACCCUGCUGCCCUCCCCUCUUCCUCACCGUCCCGGCUGUCCCUCCACACGCAGACUGUGGGGCCCCCGCGUUCCCAGGGGGGCCGCCUGCCCACUCGGCCGUGAUUUAUUAACCGGACCCUGUGAAUGGACGUUUGGGCUCCUCAACUGUCGUUAUUACAGAAACGCUGAGGUGACCGUCCUUGUACGGAAAUCCUCAUGACCUCUGGCGACUCUUUCUUUGGACACAGGCCUAAGAAUGAAUGUGUCCUGUCCCAGCCCAUCAGAGAGGGGACGAGGCAGAGUUCGUGAGGCUCCCCGGAGCCGGGGCUGCGCCUAGCGGUCCCGGGCAGACACGGCGGCUCCGGGUCCCCGGGGAGGUGGCCCUCAGGGACGCUGCUCGGCACAGGCACAGGAAACACGAGCUCCGCGGCGGCGGACGGAGCUGGAGGGCCGGGCAGGCCAUUUCUCUCCUUUCGUGUUUUCAGCGGUUUCUCCACGUGGGCCCUUUGCGCCCUCUGCAUUCGAAGCUCUUGGGCACCCAGGCUUCCCAUUGAUCCGCCCCAGCGGAGUCUGGGCCUCGCCCGAGACAAGGACCUCGCUGUCCCAUCUCACGAGGCCGGAAGUCACACCCUCUGUUCCGUUCUUCGAGGGCUCGCCCCAGGCCUGUCGGCUCCGCUUAACACGUCCCACGACAGCCCGCGGGACCCGUGGGCAACGGGCCCCCUCAACACCGCCGCCACUCGUCCGCCGAGCCUCGUGCUGUUGGAUUCCGGAAGAGCAGGUGAAAUCGUCAUUCGAAGUGUGAGCAGGUGAAAUCGUCAUCUUCCUUUGCUUAUGUGAUAGAUUCCGGAAGAGCAGGUGAAAUCGUUAUUCGAGCAGGUGAAAUCGUACAUCCACCGUUCAGGACUAGCAAAGUGGUGAACACAUGCAGGAAGCACCUUGUGCUGAAUGAAGAAAUGGAGGGGAGAAGCGUGUGUAAGGGAGCACUUCAUGGCAUUGACAGCAAGACUGUGUUACUUCAAGGUCACCUUAAACAGAGAUUGGACCCCGUGGAGCCUGGGCGUUUCUUCCGGUCACUCGGUGACGGGGGGGUCAGGGACUGCCCUGUCCUUUGCUGGGCUCCCUGACCCUGUGGACUGCCUGGCUCGACCCCGUCUCUGUCACUGUGCUGGUCCUCAGGGGCGUUCCUCGAUCCUCUCUCUCAGAGUCACUCAGGGCACCUCCAAGGUGUCUGGCUGGCCCUGGAGCUGAGUCCCAGAGGCGGUGCUGCAGGUGGUGGCUGACGGCGGUGGUCACGCCACGUCCACUGCGUCGUGAGCCGGGCCGAGCCCUGCGUUUGCUCCCGCUUUGCCCAACCUGUCCUGCGCUGUGCUGCUUCCUGCCUCGUGGGGACACCGCACGACAGCUCCUGUUUAUCCCCUCUUAAACGGUGCUUUUGAUGAUCACGAUAAAUUCCUUAUUCUGACUCAUAAUCGGGCCCUGAAAAUAUACGGCCUACGAACCCAAUGAACUCCGGAAAGACGUGACAAUAAUCCAUGUCCCCCUCAGCUGCGCUUUCAAAGGUCUGAAAAUAUUAAAUGGAAAAUUCUAGAA